CCAUUUCUAAAAAUGAUUGUUCCAAUGCUCCAAUAACAACAGCUUCGAAGCUUAUAGUUGGCGCAACAGCUCCAUGUAAUACUGGCAACUUUCCGUAAUUUUUUUCAUCACAAACAAUCACGUCUUGGAUUUCAUGAAGUUUUUCAUGAAUUAUAUCCUGAAGUUGAUUGACAGUUGCCAAAGAAGCGCCCGCUCCAGCAUGACCAUCAAAUAUACCAAAACACCAGUAUGGAAGUUUUGU